AAGAUCUAUAAGGUUUUAAAAGCAGUUACUGACAUAUAAUAAGAAUUAGCACACCUGCAUAUUCCUACCAGUUCUCAGAGUCCUGUGGACAAUGAUUGAGGAGACAAACAAUGCAGGAAACAAGU
rnacentral:snoRNA from 1 species